rnacentral:rRNA from 1 species
CAGAGUUUGAUCAUGGCUCAGAACGAACGCUGGCGGCAGGCCUAACACAUGCAAGUCGAGCGCACUCUUCGGAGUGAGCGGCGGACGGGUUAGUAACGCGUGGGAAUAUACCCAGAUCUAAGGAAUAGCCUCGGGAAACUGAGAGUAAUACCUUAUACGCCCUUCGGGGGAAAGAUUUAUCGGAUUUGGAUUAGCCCGCGUUAGAUUAGAUAGUUGGUGGGGUAAUGGCCUACCAAGUCUACGAUCUAUAGCUGGUUGAGAGG